ensembl:ncRNA lncRNA:CR44716 long non-coding RNA:CR44716
AUUUCAAUUUUAUGCUCGCUCUUUGAUAUGAAACUCGCACAUCCGUUUAUUUCGAGGAGCUGUUCUUAUGAAUUCAUGGAGAAUUUCAUCAGCAAAUGAAAAUGUGAGAUGUGGCAUAAUUUCAUAUUCAUAUCAUGAUCCAUGGCUGUGUGUCCUUUCCUUUCAAUUGAAUGCAUUUUCCUGCCAUCUUCAUCUUGAUGGUGAUUUUAUUUUUUUCUUCGCUUUUAGCCGGCAUUGUUGUUUGCUGACCAAAGCUGAAAAUGCUGCACGUAGAUUGAAAACGAAAGAUUGAAAUGUAUCUCAUGAAUGCCCUGCCCACCCGAAAAAAAAAUAAAGGAACUCAAGAAGAAAAGCUGAAAUCCAACUUGUCUUCUGGUGAUGCUGGCUCAAAUAAAUAAAAUCAAAUUUCUUUCAGAUUG